GAUGAACGCUGGCGGCGUGCCUAAUACAUGCAAGUCGAGCGAACGGACGAGAAGCUUGCUUCUCUGAUGUUAGCGGCGGACGGGUGAGUAACACGUGGAUAACCUACCUAUAAGACUGGGAUAACUUCGGGAAACCGUAGCUAAUACCGGAUAAUAUUUUGAACCGCAUGGUUCAAAAGUGAAAGACGGUCUUGCUGUCACUUAUAGAUGGAUCCGCGCUGCAUUAGCUAGUUGGUAAGGUAACGGCUUACCAGGGCAACGAUGCAUAGCCGACCUGAGAGGGUGAUCGGCCACACUGGAACUGAGACACGGUCCAGACUCCUACGGGAGGCAGCAGUAGGGAAUCUUCCGCAAUGGGCGAAAGCCUGACGGAGCAACGCCGCGUGAGUGAUGAAGGUCUUCGGAUCGUAAAGCUCUGUUAUUAGGGAAGAACAUAUGUGUAAGUAACUGUGCACAUCUUGACGGUACCUAAUCAGAAAGCCACGGCUAACUACGUG
rnacentral:rRNA from 1 species